AUGAAAACACAUGCUCCUACUUUAUUCAUGUUUCUGUGGCUGCAGCUGGAUGGGAUGAUCCAAGGUGAGCAGGUGGAGCAGCAUCCUUCCAUCCUGAGAGUCCAGGAGGGUGCCAGCGCUGUCAUCAACUGCACUUAUGGAGACAGUGCCUCGUCCUACUUCCCUUGGUAUAAGCAAGGGCCUGGAGAGCAUCCUCAGCUCAUUAUUGACAUUCGUUCAACUGUGGAAAGAAAGCAGGAGCAAAGACUGAUCCUUUUACAGGAUAAGAAAGCCAAACAUCUCUCCCUGCACAUCACAGACACUCGGCCUCGAGACUCUGCCAUGUACUUCUGUGCUGCAAGUGCACACUGCUCCACAUGCACCUGCAGCCUGUCCUCAAACCUGCCGCAGGGCCUGGAGCCCCAUCCACAUCCUGUGUCUCAGGCCUCCAGUGCAGCAUGUGUCAGUUGUUAG